AUUUUAUACAUCGACACGGCUAUCAUCCAGUAUGAGAUAUUUUAGCAUAUGCCUUUUAAUGUUGACGCUAAUGUGCAUCGUCUCUGAGGGAAUAAGAAUUUCUAAACUGCUAGCUAGAUUAAAACUUAAAGCUCCUACAAUACGGAAAGGGAGAAUACACAAUAUAUACAAUCUUCCAAAGAAACGCACACCUCCUAGAAUAAGGUCCGAGAGAAGAGACAGCGCAUAUGACGCUCUUAUCAAACGCCGGUGCAAUAGACGACGAGUUUGCAAGCAAUAAAAUCCGUUCACGUGCCCUGUAAAGAUCACUGUAACUUAUAACUAUAACUCAAUGCCUGAAAAAUAAAGUCUGCGUGGAAUGAUAACACUUUUUAUAUCAUUGAAACGGGUGUAUACUGAAUGCUUUGUGUUACUACCUAAAAGUGAGUCAUAUUAAAAGAAGGAAAUCGAUUGAAAUUAAAGUAAUUGGCGGUUAAUUCAAAGCCUUGUACGCACUUACACUUUAGUUCUACAAGCACUUCCGCUAAUAGCUCCAAAUUUGAAAAUGUGUUACAUAUAAUAUCAAUUUUAACAUAUGAGAUUUUCUGUACAGUUGGAUAAGAUCUCACUUUAUACUUUGUUGAAUGAAUUUGUAUACUUCUGGUUACAAUAACAUUUUCAUUUUCAUCACUGUUGUUGAUGUUUUAGAAAAACUAUCAUGAGCCCAUGUCAACCUUGGAAAAUUGGCUUUCAUCAUUUAUAAUGUAGAAUCUACAGGAAUCUGUAUCUGAAUGUAAAUUUUAAAACAAAUAAAAUGGUAACUU
rnacentral:sRNA from 1 species